UUACCACCGGUCUUUGGUGAGGAUGUGUUGCAUGAACUGACUGGAAAGGGUUCACAAUCUGUGUUUUAAAAUGUAUAAAUUACUUUAUUUAUUUCUAGCUAAAAUAUUCUAAUUAGAAAUUUGGACUGCAUUGUUUGAGUGGUUUCAGAGUGCUAUUUUUUAUGUCAUCCCACAGGAUCAAACACCUGAGACCAGAGAAGAGCACUGAGCAGUGAAUGGCACAGAACCUCUGCUGAUGGCCAUGCCCCCAAAGUACCUUCUUCGUGUCUACAUAGCUACUGAUGUGGCUGUGAAACUGACUUUGAAUGAGAGGCCAACAUCAGUUGAUGAGCUCAUCGGCAUCUUGAAAGACAAAGCUAAGCCAAGGCUGGACUUUGAAUUCACGUUACAGUAUGAGGAUCCGGACUUCGGAGGAGAGCUCUGCUGUUUGGUUGAUGUAGAAGACCUGCCAGAGAAGGGCACGCUUAGAGUUGUUAGAUCAGAAAGUGACCUAAGUUCAUGUGGUAGUUCAGACACAGAUAUCCUGCCUCACGUGCCUGUAAGCCAACGGCAAAAAACAUGGCCUGAUGUUUUCCCUGUCCCAACUUUUUCGUAUGAAGUUGAACAUGUCUUGCAAGAGGGGAACAGUGUUUUUGAGAGCUCUGGAAAGACUCUAAAAUUAAGCAGAGCACAAAAAAACAACAUUAUAGAGAACAUGGCCUCCUUAAUGUACUCUUUUAAACCGUACCCAAGCGACAGGGAUGUAGGCAUGGCAGCUGACGCCCUGAUUAACGCUCACCCAUGUCUGAAAGAGCUGGGGUCUGCGAGCGGGUGGUACGGAUGGAAAAUUAGCCUGAAAUUUAAAAUGGGAAAUUACCGUACUAGGCUGGCCAGAGCUGGAUGCAAGGAGGUGUCCGUAAAUACAGGGAAAAGAAGCAGGAAUAAUCCAGAGAAAGCACAUCCCCACUCGAACAUUAAAAAAGCCAGAAGGGCUGAAGUAAACUUUCUCCCAAACUUCCCAAGAGGACAAAACGAGGACAGUUUGGAGGAAAUGAGAAUAGAGAUGAAAGCUGAAGUUGAUAGAGCCGACAGAAACCUACAAUCAAUAGAGAAACUCAUGCAGACAACCUUUGCACUUCGUCGUCAGGAAAUUGUUCAGGGAGACCCAUUGGUGAAGGACUUUCUGGAGAGAUGGCCUGCCCUUCAGGUCCAAUCACAGGUCUGUGCUGAGUUCCACAGGAUCACCAAUGUAAAUUUACGGAACCAGUUUUAUUGUGAACUAGAUCGGCACAUUCCACAGCUCAUAGAACUUUACAGA